UCUGCUUGCUUAAUGGGCUCUUCCACAUCUGGUAUAAUGAGAUUUGUUGCAAAGUGUAUAGAUCAUACAUCAUCACAUAUUGUCUUAAAAAUAGUUAGGAACCAAUGCGAGUAAUCAUUUAUUUUCUGUUACCUUGUGUCGUGUUGUAAGAGAACCAACUCUUGCUGUCCUGGUGGAACUGCAGAGGAUCUUUGGCGUAAUUUGACACAAAUGGGAUCGGAUGAAAGCAAUGAAAACCAUCCAGUUCUAGGAAACAUAAAGCAAGCACUGGACACACUUGUCCGGCAAAGAUAUUUGCAGAAAGACAAAGUAAAGGAACCUGACGGCAAUACUUUUUUUUUAUGAGCUUGCGGAGAGAGCUUUAGGUGCACCAUUUAGUGAGAGCACUAAAGCACACAUCAGAGGUAUGAUUUAGAGAUUAAUCACGUUAUGAUAAUAUAAUUUAUUCAUGAUUAAGUAUUUGAAGAGCUAUAAGUUCGUCCUGUUUGGAGUGUGUAUUAUCCCCCCCUCAACCAAAAAACAAAGUAUCUUUGAAAAAUUACUCAUGUCAACUUGCAUGGUUUUCAAAUUCGUAAACACGUUUGCCCUCUAUUUUGGCAAUUCAUAAGGUUGUUAGGUUCAAGUUUUUCGUGUCUCCACUAUUUAAUUGGAAGUAGCUCUACACACAGAAACAGAACCUGAAAGUUUGUGCAAGGUAGUGCUGUAGACAGAAUAACGCAAUGAACAGUGUAGACAGUUAAUGCAGAUUGCAAAGAAAACAACACAUUGAGCUCACAUUUAAGGAAGGUAGAGGAAGUACACAUUGGUUUUCUAUCCAGAUUAAAGAUAGGCUUUACUAGAGUUGACAGCAUGAAGAGUUGCUGAGCCUGUGUUAUAGAGGAGGAGGGGCCCUGCUGUUUAGAAGGGAGAGGAAAAUUAGGAAGAAGGAGCGGGAAUUGGGGAGUGGAGAAGGGAGAACUUGGAUGGGGGGAGAGGGGCCCUGAACCAUCCAAGUCCUUAGGUGGCUCUGCCGUUGGCACCCGUUACUGAGGCAAAUGAAGAGGAAAAAUAGGUUAAGGCAGGAGUAAAAGAAAAGAUGCACAUGAUCAUUUUUUUGGCGUAGCUGCUUAAUUUCUAGCCGGUUACUAAGAACAGUAGCAAACCAAAAAUUAAAUGGAACUAGCCUAAAUACGGAUAGAGGUAAAGAGUCUAAGAAUAGGUGUGAGCUGAAGAGUCUAAGAAUAGGUAUGAGCUAUACAAGCAAUUCUAUUUAGGACAAUGAGGAAAUACUACUCUGUUUUUGGGAGUACAGAACAACAAGAAAAUAAGGAACUAUAAGAGGUUGCAAGAAAAUGGUAGAAACUACCACCAUCAAACUAGUUGGAUACUAUAGUUACUCCUAAAACCCUAGAUACAAAGAAGCAUAUGCAGCUGAAACAUUCUCUAAAUUCAUCCAUGUUUUGAAAGAAAGUAUUAAAAGGCUAAAUGCACAAAAGACGAUAAAAGCUAAAAGAUAUUAAAGACCAUUGAAAGAAUAUUUUCCCGAGGGUGCUGCCACUUAUUUACAACACUUAAAUUGCUCUGCUAAAUUAGCACGGGAGAAGCCUUGUUCGGUGGUUUUGUUGCUUUGUUGCAGAAAACAUUGCAGUUAUGUGAUUUGUUUUUCUUUUAGCUCUGUCUAAAAGCUCAGGGUUUAGGGUUUAGGGUUUAGGGGCCUCAAGUCACAAAUCCCAUUAGUUUUCAACUUUCCCAAACAGAAACCCUAGCACUGUAAAAGUCUUAGUCACUGGUCGUUGCUUUGGCUUGGGGCCGUCGUCAGCCUCUCCCCCCUCCUUCUAGCACCUCCCCACUUCUCCUAAUCUCUCCGCCUCCCUAGCCUCUCCUCUCCCCGCCUCCCAUCCCCCUCCUUUUCCCCCCGACCACUCCUUGCUUGGUGCUGUGCAGCCCCUCUUCUCCCCAACAUUUUGUGGGCAGUUUCUUCACGGCUUUGAUGCAGCCUCCGCCCCAAAAAUCGAGAUUUACUCCCUAACAAGGCCUAUUCCCUUGAUUUAGCGCAAGAUCCACGGGCUUGGGUGGGUUAUUGGUUGUUGGUGGGUCGGAUCUUCCCUUUAUGGCUUGAUUUUCAGGGUUAUGUGGCUCCUCUUUACUAAUCCGUGGCAGCACUGCCUUCCCUGACCAGAUCUGUGGCGGCCUUGCCUUGCUUGGCUCACGGUUAUGGCAGAUCUCACUAGAAGUGGUAAAGUUGCAGGUGGAGAUGAGCCAAUCAUCGAAGAAGAGCCAACCGGAGGAUUUCGUUUCUCGGAUUACUGUAGGUUCAGUACGUUUGUACCACAUCUAGCGGGUGAUGUCUUGCCUAGCGAGUGAUGUAGCCCGCGUGUGUGAUGGUUUUGAUGUGGCCUCACUUGUUAGCAUGGUUUGAUGUGGUCUCACUUGUGUGUGUUCUGUUAUAAGUCUGUUCCAUCUGCCGUCUUUGUGGCAGAUUUGUACCAACUGUGCUUGUGCUAGUUUGUGGGCGUUUGUGAUAGCCAAUUAAAGGAUUAUCAUUAUUGCUUGUUUGUGCGAAGUGCCUCCAGAUCAAAUAUAUAGUCACUGCCCAUGUGGCAACCUUUGCAACUGUUAUCGUUUAGUAAUGGAAAAUUGGUAUUGUUAUGCUA